UAACAAGGUUUCCGUAGGUGAACCUGCGGAGGGAUCAUUACACAAAUAUGAAGGCGGGCUGGAACCUCUCGGGGUUACAGCCUUGCUGAAUUAUUCACCCUUGUCUUUUGCGUACUUCUUGUUUCCUUGGUGGGUUCGCCCACCACUAGGACAAACAUAAACCUUUUGUAAUUGCAAUCAGCGUCAGUAACAAAUUAAUAAUUACAACUUUCAACAACGGAUCUCUUGGUUCUGGCAUCGAUGAAGAACGCAGCGAA
rnacentral:misc_RNA from 1 species